rnacentral:tRNA from 1 species
GCCGGGAUAGCUCAGCUGGGAGAGCAACAGACUGAAGCCUUGCGGUAUUCUGGAGGUCCCGUGUUCAAUCCACGGUCCUGGCA